AUGGGCCUCCUGCUCUCGAAGGAGCCGCGCCGCCGCCCGCGCCAGAAGCGGCCCCGCUGCGGCAGCUGGUGGCGCCGCCGCCGCCGGCCUCUCCUCAGGUGGCCCCGCGGGGCCCCGGCCAAGGCGGCGGCGGCGCCCCGGGGCCGGGACUGCCUCUUCCGCGGGCCCUGCAUGCUCUGCCUCGUCGUGCACGGCCCCGGCGCGCCCGCCCCCGCCGGCCCGGAGGAGGAGCCGCCGCUGUCGUCGCCGCGGCCGCUCGGGGCCUACGGCGCGGCCGCCUCCUCACAGCCCCCGGCGCGGCGCCGCGCGGGCCUGGCCGCUGAGGACGCCGCGCGCCGCCUUCUGCUCUCGGCCGCCGCCGCCGUCGCCGCGCCGCCCGCCCCCGGCCGCGGGGAGCUGGGGCCGGCCGCCGCCGCCGCCCGGGAGCGGCCGGCCCGGAGCCUCCUGUGGGCCCGCGCGGGGCCCGUGCGUCCGCCCGCGCCGCCCGCCGCCUCGCGGCUCUUCCGGGCGCCGCCGGCCGAGCCCCCCGCGCCCCCCGAGAUGGUGUGCAAGCGGAAGGGGGCCGGGGUCCCCGCCUGCACCCCCUGUAAGCAGCCCCGCUGCGGCGGGGGCGCCUGCGGCGGAGGCGGCGGCGGCGGCGGGCCUGCGGGCGGCGGCCCCGAGCAGCACCCCCCGCCGCCGCUCCGCGCCCCGCGCUCCCCCGCCGCUCCGGGAGGGGCCCCCGCGGAGGCCGGCGGGGACGCGGUCCGAGCGGGGGGCGCCGCCCCCUCGGUCGCCCGGCAGCAGCAGCACGAGUGCGGCGACGCCGACUGUCCGGAGGGCCCCGAUCCGCCGUGCGACUGCCACAGGGAGCCGCCCCCCGACGCCCCGGACAUCAACCAGCUGCCGCCCUCCAUCCUGCUUAAGAUAUUUUCCAAUUUAUCUCUGGAUGAACGUUGCCUUUCUGCAUCAUUGGUUUGCAAGUACUGGCGUGACCUUUGCUUAGAUUUCCAGUUUUGGAAGCAGCUGGAUCUUAGUAGUCGUCAGCAGGUCACUGAUGAAUUAUUGGAAAAAAUUGCAUCAAGAAGUCAAAAUAUAAUUGAAAUCAACAUUUCUGAUUGUCGCAGUAUGUCUGAUACUGGCGUAUGUGUUCUAGCAUUUAAAUGUCCUGGACUUCUUAGGUAUACAGCUUACAGGUGUAAACAGCUUUCUGACACCUCUAUUAUUGCAGUUGCCUCUCACUGUCCUUUACUUCAGAAAGUUCAUGUAGGCAACCAGGACAAACUGACUGAUGAAGGACUCAAACAGCUGGGGUCGAAAUGCAGAGAACUGAAAGAUAUCCAUUUCGGCCAGUGUUACAAGAUCUCAGAUGAAGGCAUGAUCGUCAUAGCUAAGGGCUGUCUGAAAUUACAGAGAAUAUACAUGCAGGAAAACAAACUAGUGACGGACCAGUCGGUGAAGGCGUUUGCUGAGCACUGUCCUGAGCUGCAGUGCGUGGGCUUCAUGGGUUGUUCGGUUACUUCUAAAGGAGUCAUUCAUCUAACCAAGCUAAGAAACCUUUCCAGCUUGGACCUACGUCAUAUCACUGAACUGGAUAAUGAAACCGUGAUGGAAAUUGUCAAGAGGUGCAAAAAUCUUAGCUCUCUCAAUCUCUGCCUGAACUGGAUUAUAAAUGACAGGUGUGUGGAGGUUAUCGCCAAGGAAGGACAGAACCUGAAAGAGCUGUAUUUGGUGUCCUGUAAAAUCACAGAUUACGCUCUGAUAGCCAUCGGGCGAUACAGCAUGACAAUAGAGACUGUGGACGUCGGCUGGUGCAAAGAGAUCACGGACCAAGGGGCCACCCUGAUUGCACAGAGCAGCAAGUCUUUAAGAUACUUGGGGCUGAUGAGAUGUGAUAAAGUCAACGAGGUGACGGUGGAGCAGCUGGUCCAGCAGUACCCGCACAUCACCUUCAGCACCGUCCUGCAGGACUGCAAGAGGACGCUGGAGAGGGCCUACCAGCUGGGCUGGACGCCCGGCGUGUCUGCCGCCUCCUCCUAGGGUGCGGAGCUGGGGCGGGUGGCCCCGGCCGAGGCGCGGCUGUGCUGUGUCCCUGCGUGUGCCCCCUGUGUGUGUCCGUGUCUCGUUUGCAUACUGCAUAGCGUCCACGCAGUUGCUAUUUGUUCCCAGGUGAGCUGGUCUUUUUUGUCUUAAAAAUGAAAGAUUUUGACAGGCACAGACCUUUCGUUUUUAAGUUCAAAGGUUUAUUUCUCUAAUUUUUUUUUUUUUUUUACUGUGGAAUCAAAAAAAAAAAAAGGAUCCAUUAUUUUGAGCUUCUAAUUUCUGCCAGUGGAGAUGCCCCCAAAUGAAGGCAAGUGCCUUCUUUUUUGAUGAGAAAGGAUUGUGCAGUUCUGCGGAUGGUCACCAGAAGGGAGUGACGUGGCCCUAAUUGGAAGCCUGAGAACUACUGCUUUUCAAGAUUUCAAGCACAUCCAUGGGUGUCGGUUCUCAUCCUGUCUCACACGUGUGCGCGCUCACACGCACGCACGCACUUUCUCCCUAGGCCUUUCUCCAGGCCCCGCCCUCCCCUGCCACUCCCCCUAGCGCCCUGCCCCCACGGGGCUCCCCACCUGCCGUCCAGUGGGCAGCUUAGGGACUAGAGAGAGCAGGGCCUUCUGUGAAGUUUCCGUGUGGAGUCAGCGAUCUGAACCCUGCUGGCCAGCUCAUAAAAGUUAAUUAUUCACUAUUCUGCCAAAUUCUCUGGAGUACUACGUAUUUGAGUUUUACGUUAACAUUUUAUUAGCUUUUAUUUCACGGAUAGUAACUGGUCUGGAUAUAUUUUAAUGAUAUUUGGAGCUAAUCUUAGCAUUAUCCACAUUAAAGUCACCAAUGUAAUUAAUAGUGUGCAGUUAUUAAAAAAAAACUCUACAGAUCAUUUAAUUAUUUUUGUUAAUUUGGUAAUUAUGAAAGUAUAUUUCUGAGAUUCGGGGCUAGUCACAUUAAUAGAAGAUUAAUGAAUGAGCUAUAAGUAGACAAUCUUUCUAUUGAUUUGUUUUUUCUU
rnacentral:lncRNA from 1 species